rnacentral:lncRNA from 1 species
CAGCAGAAACUGGUAAGUAAAAUAUUAUAAUAUAAAUUAUUUUUAUUUUAAAAAUAAUUAGAUUUUAAUUUUAGACGAUUUUGAAUAUGAACAUAUUAUUAAAAAACGAAGUAACGAUGGUGAUGAUAAUGAAGGUUCUCCUAAAAAAAAAGAAACCGAAAAUUAAUGUAAGCCUUAUUAAACGAUCUAAACUUCAGGAUAUUGAGCCAUUUACUGUAGAAAUUGCUCCGAGUAGCUAUGCGACACUAGUAACUUUUAUAAAUAAUCAUUAUGUGAGUUUUAGUAAAUCAAACAGAGGAUAUCCUAAUAAGUUUAAUAUAAUUGUUUCAGAAGUUUUAAACUAUAAAAAAAGCCCUUGAUUUAAUGAUCGAAUAUUUAAAAAAACAUAAUCUAAUCUAAUGGAAUUGAGAAAAUCAGCAUUUAAAGGAUAUGAGAUCAUAUAGAUUAAUUACUGAUUAUUCUGAUCCGGAUAUACUCUCAAACUCCAUACACCAGAUGGCGCCGCAUGUGUGUCGCGCGAGCUUCGUACUC